UACGUAGGGUGCAAGCGUUAAUCGGAAUUACUGGGCGUAAAGCGUGCGCAGGCGGUUAUGUAAGACAGAUGUGAAAUGCCCGGGCUUAACCUGGGAACUGCAUUUGUGACUGCAUGGCUAGAGUUUGGCAGAGGGGGUGAGAAUUCCACGUGUAGCAGUGAAAGUGCGUAGAUAGUGUGGGAGGAACACCGAUGGCGAGGCAGCCCC
rnacentral:rRNA from 1 species